AAAGUCUAAAAUCUCAACGAUAGUCAUUAAAAAAAAAAAUACAGUAUGUGAAACUUCUACGAUGAGGUAAAAGCAAAAGGAUAAAUGAAGAAGAAUGUGCAAGAGGAGCUGGGCUAGAGAUUACGCGGUGAGGUGGGGCCUUAUGUCGUAGAAGGAAAGCUACAAAAUCAUAAAUCACGCGAGAUGAUGAUCCAACUCGUAACCCACGUGUACUCUUCAAUCACUACAAAAAGUCAAAUCAACGCGCCAACAACAUGGACGCCCUGGGCCCCAACCGACUAGCCCACACUUCCCUCCAAAACCACUGUCGUAAGCAGUGACAAAAUCACCUCGUGUGGGCUCGCGACACGCGCGCACCACACUUCAUAGCGCCACACGUGUCCAAUUACAUAUCACCUAACUUUUUUUUCUCUCCUAAAAUCCUGCCAUUGAAAUAAAAGGAAAUGUAAAAGGAAUCAGAACACGAUACAAAAUACUAGAGAAUGACGGCCAUUUUAUUUUAACCUAUUUACUAAAUUCUAAAACUGUCACCCUACCUAACCUUGGACUUUUAAUUUGAAAAAUCAAUUACACAAAUAAUAGUAAUAAGAUGUACAAUUAAAGACAAAAAAUGAAACACUUUUUUUUUUCUUUCUUUCUUUUCCCACGCUCUACUCCACGGGGUAUGCGCGUAACACGUACGGUGAGAAAUAAAAAGAAGAUAAAGGAUCUAAUAUUGGUAAUGUAAUAAAACUUUUAAAAAGAGUGAAUAAUAAAAAUGAAGCCCCAUUAUCGCCCAUGUGUAUUCUAGAAACUAGUGGCUGAUGGUGCCACGUGUCGCGCGCAUCGGCUAUAAAUAAAGGGCUCUCCCUUAUGUAAUAAGUUUCAAGCGCCGCCACCAUAGUUGGUGUUAGUCUUGGUGUAGUGUAGCUAGGGAGGGAUAUAUAUCUGAGUAAGAUGGCAUCAGAGCUUGAAUUGCCCCCAGGCUUCAGAUUCCAUCCAACGGACGAGGAGCUGGUGUUGCACUAUCUCUGCCGCAAAUGCGCGUCGCAGCCAAUCGCCGUUCCCAUCAUCGCCGAAAUCGACCUCUACAAAUACGACCCCUGGGACUUACCCGGUAACAUAAUCAUUCAUUCAUUCAUUCAUUCUUCGAUUUCUGAUUCUUAAUUUUUAUUUAUUAAUUGUUACUGUGUUACUUUACAGGAUUGGCUACUUAUGGAGAGAAAGAGUGGUACUUCUUUUCACCACGGGACCGGAAAUACCCAAACGGUUCGAGGCCGAACCGGGCGGCUGGCACCGGUUACUGGAAGGCAACCGGGGCGGAUAAGCCCAUUGGUCAGCCCAAACCGGUUGGGAUUAAAAAAGCUUUGGUGUUUUACGCAGGG
rnacentral:lncRNA from 1 species